rnacentral:rRNA from 1 species
AGAGUUUGAUCCUGGCUCAGGACGAACGCUGGCGGCGUGCUUAACACAUGCAAGUCAAGGCGGUAGCAAUACCGACUGGCGCACGGGUGCGGAACACGUAGGCAAUCUGCCCUUAAAGGGAGAACAACCAGUCGAAAGAUUGGCUAAAUCUCCGUAACAUCAUAGAGUGGCAUCACUCAGUGAUCAAGUUUUUUUAAGGA